GACGAACGCUGGCGGCGUGCUUAACACAUGCAAGUCGAACGAAGUGGCGAACGGGUGAGUAAUACGUGAGUAACCUGCCCUCCUUUGUGGGAUAAGCCUUGGAAACGGGGUCUAAUACCGAAUAAAGGGGGAUGGGCUCGCGGCCUAUCAGCUUGGUGGUGGGGUGACGGCCUACCAAGGCGGUGCCGGGUAGCCGGCCUGAGAGGGUGACACGGCACAGUAGGACUGGGAUAGGGCCCAAACGCCGACAGGAGGGGGGAGUGGGGGAUAAUGGACGAUGGGCGGAAGCCUGAUGCAGCGACGUCUGAUGGGGGAUGAAGGCUUUCGGGUUAUAAACAUCUUUCGGGAUCGAACGGGUAGGUGGAGACGAAGCGCCGGCUAACUACGUGCCAGCAGCCGCGGUAAUAC
rnacentral:rRNA from 1 species